rnacentral:rRNA from 1 species
CAGCCGCCGCGGAAUACGGAGGGUGCAAGCGUUAAUCGGAAUUACUGGGCGUAAAGCGCACGCAGGCGGUUUGUUAAGUCAGAUGUGAAAUCCCCGAGCUUAACUUGGGAACUGCAUUUGAAACUGGCAAGCUAGAGUCUUGUAGAGGGGGGUAGAAUUCCAGGUGUAGCGGUGAAAUGCGUAGAGAUCUGGAGGAAUACCGGUGGCGAAGGCGGCCCCCUGGACAAAGACUGACGCUCAGGUGCGAAAGCGUGUGGAGCAAACAGGAUUAGAUACCCCUGUAGUCCCUGUCUCUUAUACA